CUUAGCCCCUCGGCCAAUGAGCGCCCAGCUCCCUCCUCACGCCCCAAUCGAAAGGUUUCUCGACUUCUCGGGCCUCGCCUCCUCCCGCCCUCAUCACACCCACUCUCGCGAUGACGCACCACCGCAGCGUUCUGGAACUUUCAGCCUCCCCCUCCCGCUCUCCCCCUCAACCCCAGCUCUCCGAACUGCCCGGGGAAAGGGAGGGUGGGGCCUAGAGAGCCCGCGCGCGGGAGUCCUCGGUCGCUCCGGUGGGGGAGGGGAACGCCCAUUUCUACGCAUGCGCCCCCAUCCGGCGCAGGCGGACCGGGAAGGAAGAAGGAGGCGGAAGAAGGGCGGGCACGCUUUGAAACAACCAAUGGCAGUAGCGCUACCUGAGAUCUUGGCUAGCACGGAACCAAGGCUGGAUAAGCACGUCUUGAAGGGAGGGGUCUGGGCCCCUGAUGCCAGGAAAGAGAAGACGGAAGUGGAGCGAGGACAAAAUGGCUGCAAAGAAAGCAAACGGCAGCCGGUGCAGUCUUUGUUGAAAACCGAGCGGCUGAGCCCCGGCACUGAAUCGUCAGUUGUGCGCAAGGCAGGCGCUGGGGGCCUUGUCAUCCUGAGCUGUGCGUCCCCUGUGCCUUUUCAAGCAGACGGACCCCUUCGUCUGUUUACUAGGGAAAUAGAUACAGAGAUGAGCAACUUCAAACUUUCUCCUACUGAGCACAAAAUCAACACUGCUCCUUGCCUCAGCUCCCCGAACAAGCUGGAUCCGGUUUCCUUUCCGCGAGAAAGGGAGGAAAGCUGAAUUUGGCUGAAAGUGAUAAAGAUGUGUGGAGAUGUGUGUUAGUACUGUGUGCCCUCCAGCUCUGUUCCGUCCUGUAAGAGACCCUCACUCUCCUAUAUAAGGUGCCACAAACUAACAGCAACAUCAACAACAUGGAUGCACCCAGAGGGCAGCAACCAGGAGUCCACAUCUGUUCAGCAAAUAUGAGUGGCCUCCUGGUACUGUAUUAGGUGCUGCUGGGGUGACGGAGAUGAAUGGCAUUGCUUUUUGUCUAUGAAGAGACCCCAGUCUCACAAAACAAAACAGAUUGAACACAUGACUAUAAUCUCCAGCCCUAAUGUGUUUCUUACAUCAAGUAUGUGAACAGACCUGGCUCAUGGUUCACAAGGAAACUCUCGGAGCUCCUUUUCUUCCAGAGAAAGACAAUGGUUCAACUUCAAAUUCAGUAUGGUGAAACAGCCCUUAAAGAUCCGACUUUGGCUCUGUCCUUAUCCUGUGUAACUGAUUCACACCUGUGCUCUGUUCUAGGUAUUGAACUGCUUCCUAGUAUGCACACAACAGUUAUGCUGCUGUCUUUGCACUCACUGCUUUCUUUCUCUAGAGCACCCUUUUGUCCUAGCUGUGAUCCCAUGGUUUACUUCUCACUGGUCUCUUAAGACUCAGAGGUCACAUUGUGUGGUGAGCCUUUCUUCACUCCACAGCACUGUCUGUACACUUCCAACCAAUGCUCUGUGUUAUGAUGUCUGCCCUACUAGACCGUCAGGUCCUGUAGGGUCCACACUGUAUUCUUCUUCAUUGUAUCUUCAGCUCUUUAUGCAGUGCUGGGAACCUAGCUGGUACUCAGGAAAUAGUUGUUGAAGAAAUGACUAGAAGUGCUGUGCAUAGUGGUGCAUGCCUCUAAUCCCAGCACUAGGGAGGCUGAGACAGGAGGA